GAUCUGCAUGCCUUUUGGCUGCUCCUGCAUUGUGAAACCUGGGAGACUGCAAGUGAGUUCAUCCAGUUGGCUUCUUGAUGGAGAAAAACUGUUGGAAGGCUUAGUACAAUUGCUGUAUAGGAGCUUGUUGUGGAGCCUAUGACUGUGCACUUUCUUCAGAUUCCAUCGAAAGCGACUGUAGUCUCUGUCUCAGCAUAUGCCUGCUUUUCUUUGGGAUCAGCUGGAAUAUGCAGCCUUGCUCUUAAGCUCUUUGCUGAGUAAGGCAUUGGUUCGGUGCAAUAUGCUGCCUAACUCCUGAAUGUGGGUUUGAAGAAAAGCUCUGGCUAUCAGGUUGGUUUUAAAUGGUGAUUCAGAAAGUUAAAUAGUUUGAAUGGUGUUAAAACCAUUAGUGAGUAGUUAGGGCAUGAAUAUACUGGGUCAAGAGCUAAGAUCGAAAAUGGUGGAAUUUGCAUUAUGCUAUUGCUUGGAACAGAAUGGCUUUAAUUCAAACAUGAAGCAUCACUACUUUCUCUGAUUCAAGUUUAGGAAAGUGAAUAUUAGGGUAAGAGAACAACUUAUUUGCUGUACUAUCGGUACUUGUCAUGUUUGCCAUCUCCAUAUUGGAAGCUAGCCCCAAAUUUUGACCAUCAUGUUGGUGAGUGCCAAUUUGCCAAAUUUUUAACCUAUCGGUCUCUGUUGCUUUUAAUCAGACUUCCGAUUCUUAUGACUAUUGAAUGCUAAUCAUUUUAGUUAAUAUUAGUCAAGAAUUCUUUCUUUUACCAAUUUAAAAAUGCAUCUAAUCCAUAAGGUAGUAUCUCUAGGAAUGUUUUUGUUUAUUCUUGGAGUUGAGUGGAUAGAUUUCAAACAUUAGCGAAGGAUUAUUGUGUUGGAAAUGGGUGAUUUACUGAGGUUGAUAGCAUUUUCUACAAGAAGCAUUUUUAGAAAUGUAUUUUUUUUUUU